GACGUAGGGCGCGAGCGUUGUCCGGAUUUAUUGGGCGUAAAGAGCUCGUAGGCGGCUUGUCGCGUCGUUCGUGAAAUCCUGGAGCUCAACUCCAGAACUGCCUUCGAUACUGAGAGUCUCGAGUCCGGGAGAGGUGAGUGGAACUGCGAGUGUAGAGGUGAAAUUCGUAGAUAUUCGCAAGAACACCAGUGGCGAAGGCGGGUCUCUGGGCCGAUAUUGACGCUGAGGAGCGAAAGCGUGGGGAGCAAACAGG
rnacentral:rRNA from 1 species